CGAUCAUGUCACCUAAGUAUUUUAGGCUUGGGCGAGAUUUAAUUGUGGCUUCCCCAAUUUUGAUAGUAGCCGUCUCCAUUUUCUGCCUGCUACUUAUCGGGCCUGUUUCGGUCUUAUGCACUGCCAAGGCUAGACCUUUUUAUUCGACCCAUGCGCUUGCUCGUUUCCGAGCUUCGCUGCAGAUUCUUUCCGCGUCUGGGAGUUUCUCUGCCGUAACUACUAUGGGUACGUCAUCCAUAAAACCAAUAAGUCAUGCCACCUCGGGCAUCGUGAUCCUAAGGAUUUCGUCGUGCAUGAUAUUCCACAAUAAAGGGCCUAGGACUGAUCCUUGGGGGACUUCCCGGUGACCCUGUGAGUCGAUUGCCCAGAUUCAAAUUAGUAUAGGGGUUCAGAAACAUCGAUGGAAACAAAAAUCGAUGUUUUUGGACCAUCGAUGUUUCUAGGGCCAUCACUGUUUAAAGGAGAAGACACACGAAAGGGAAUGGUAUUGCAACGGAAUGUAGAGUAUCCGUCCCAACAAAAAAGAAAGUUGGAUAAAUAUGUAAUGAUAAUGAUAGCACGGGACGUUCAACCAUUUAGCAUGGUUGUCGAUGAUGAACCUAUUUCAGAGACACAAUACUACCUAAGCUGUACAAUGAAUUAAGAAAGGAUCUUGAAAGUGAGCUCGAAGGUGUCCCGUAUGUGGCAAUUACCACGGAAGGAUGGACUUCCCGGGCAAUUAAGCCUAUAUAACAGUAACAUGUCAUUUUGUGAACAAGAAGUUCAAAUUAGUGUCUGCAGCCUUGCCGACGGUCCUAAACGAAUGAGGUCUUCUACAUAAAGAUUUAACUUUUGUUACCGAUAACGACGCAACUAUGAAAAAGGCGUGCGAGCAUCUGGAAAUUAAACAUUUUCCAUGAUUUGCACAUACUAUUAACUUGCUGGUUCAAGAAAUUCUGAAAAUUCAGAUAAUUCGACCUAUUUUAACCAAGUGCAAGGCUGUUGUCGCAUUUAUUAAGCCCAGACCGACUGCAAUGGCAAAUUUUAAGGACGCUCAGAUGGUGACAGACCCCCUUGGAUUAAUUCAGGAGGUACCAACAGUGCCUUCCAAAUGAACGAACGAAUUUAAGAGACCAACGAGGCACUCCCAAUAGCAUUACUAGGGACUACAAAGGCUCCUGUUUCCUGAUUCCUUAAAUUUUUGGAUGCAAUGUUUAAAGAACAUGGAGCCUUACCAGGAGCUUGCAAACAAUUUUUUGUGUAUUCCUGCCACGUCCUGCGAGUCCGAAAAAGCUUUUAGCAUGGCGGGUCAAAUAAUUUCCGAUCGCCGUACCCGUUUAAAGAGUAACAUCGUAGACCCAUUUAUUUUUAUUACUAAAAAUUAUGAUCUAAAUCGUCUGAUCUAAAACCGUU